CUUUUUCAACCUUUGCUCAAGAUGCUUUCAUUGUGAUGCACUCCGCACUGAAAACAUGAUCAUCAAAAAAUAACAAAAAACACUGAAAUAUUGGAUUGUACCAAGCAACAGACAGGCCAACAUGGGAAACAUACACCACAGAGUUAAUACGGUUCUGAUCACAUAUUUGGUUAUGAAAAUGUCUGCACAUGAAUGUCUGACUCCUCAAGAAGACCAAUCAACUGUUUCAUCAGAACUUUCACUGAAAAGUACUUCAGAUGGACAAAAUGACUCACUGGGAAUUGCUGAAGUCCACUCCGGCUGGCCAAUUGUGCUCGGUGCUCUGACAGCGGUGCUUUCCAUCGGCCUCCUGAUAGCACUGGCUGUGAGAUACCGCUUCC